rnacentral:rRNA from 1 species
GACGUAGGAGGCGAGCGUUGUCCGGAUUCAUUGAGCGUAAAGAGCGCGCAGGCGGCUUGGUAAGUCGGAUGUGAAAUCCCGAGGCUCAACCUCGGGUCUGCAUCCGAUACUGCCCGGCUAGAGGUAGGUAGGGGAGAUCGGAAUUCCUGGUGUAGCGGUGAAAUGACGCAGAUAUCAGGAGGAACACCGGUGGCGAAGGCGGUUCUCUGGGCAUUACCUGACGCUGAGGAGCGAAAGCAUGGGGAGCGAACAGG